CCUUCCGUAGGUGAACCUGCGGAAGGAUCAUUACCGAGUGUAGGGUUCCUAGCGAGCCCAACCUCCCACCCGUGUUUACUGUACCUUAGUUGCUUCGGCGGGCCCGCCAUUCAUGGCCGCCGGGGGCUCUCAGCCCCGGGCCCGCGCCCGCCGGAGACACCACGAACUCUGUCUGAUCUAGUGAAGUCUGAGUUGAUUGUAUCGCAAUCAGUUAAAACUUUCAACAAUGGAUCUCUUGGUUCCGGCAUCGAUGAAGAACGCAGCGAAAUGCGAUAACUAGUGUGAAUUGCAGAAUUCCGUGAAUCAUCGAGUCUUUGAACGCACAUUGCGCCCCCUGGUAUUCCGGGGGGCAUGCCUGUCCGAGCGUCAUUGCUGCCCAUCAAGCACGGCUUGUGUGUUGGGUCGUCGUCCCCUCUCCGGGGGGGACGGGCCCCAAAGGCAGCGGCGGCACCGCGUCCGAUCCUCGAGCGUAUGGGGCUUUGUCACCCGCUCUGUAGGCCCGGCCGGCGCUUGCCGAACGCAAAUCAAUCUUUUUCCAGGUUGACCUCGGAUCAGGUAGGGAUACCCGCUGAACUUAAGCAUAUCAAUAAGCGGAGGAA
rnacentral:ncRNA from 2 species